rnacentral:rRNA from 1 species
UUUAUGGAGAGUUUGAUCCUGGCUCAGGAUGAACGCUGGCGGCGUGCCUAAUACAUGCAAGUCGAGCGAACGGACGAGAAGCUUGCUUUUCUGAUGUUAGCGGCGGACGGGUGAGUAACACGUGGAUAACCUACCUAUAAGACUGGGAUAACUUCGGGAAACCGGAGCUAAUACCGGAUAAUAUUUUGAACCGCAUGGUUCAAAAGUGAAAGACGGUCUUGCUGUCACUUAUAGAUGGAUCCGCGCUGCAUUAGCUAGUUGGUAAGGUAACGGCUUACCAAGGCAACGAUGCAUAGCCGACCUGAGAGGGUGAUCGGCCACACUGGAACUGAGACACGGUCCAGACUCCUACGGGAGGCAGCAGUAGGGAAUCUUCCGCAAUGGGCGAAAGCCUGACGGAGCAACGCCGCGUGAGUGAUGAAGGUCUUCGGAUCGUAAAACUCUGUUAUUAGGGAAGAACAUAUGUGUAAGUAACUGUGCACAUCUUGACGGUACCUAAUCAGAAAGCCACGGCUAACUACGUGCCAGCAGCCGCGGUAAUACGUAGGUGGCAAGCGUUAUCCGGAAUUAUUGGGCGUAA